AGUAGAUAGCUUAACCUUCGGGAGGGCGUUUACCACGGUGUGGUUCAUGACUGGGGUGAAGUCGUAACAAGGUAGCCCUAGGGGAACCUGGGGCUGGAUCACCUCCUUACCUAAAGA
rnacentral:rRNA from 1 species